rnacentral:rRNA from 1 species
GAACGAGGUGAGUAACACGUGGGUGAUCUGCCUCGCACUCUGGGAUAAGCCUGGGAAACUGGGUCUAAUACCGGAUAUGAGCCUGGACUGCAUGGUCUGGGUUGGAAAGGUUUACUGGUGCGAGAUGGGCCCGCGGCCUAUCAGCUUGUUGGUGGGGUAACGGCCCACCAAGGCGACGACGGGUAGCCGACCUGAGAGGGUGACCGGCCACACUGGGACUGAGACACGGCCCAGACUCCUACGGGAGGCAGCAGUGGGGAAUAUUGCACAAUGGGCGAAAGCCUGAUGCAGCGACGCCGCGUGAGGGAUGACGGCCUUCGGGUUGUAAACCUCUUUUGACAGGGACGAAGCGCAAGUGACGGUACCUGUAGAAGAAGCACCGGCCAACUACGUGCCAGCAGCCGCGGUAAUACGUAGGGUGCGAGCGUUGUCCGGAAUUACUGGGCGUAAAGAGCUUGUAGGCGGUCUGUCACGUCGAUUGUGAAAACUUGCAGCUCAACUGCAAGCUUGCAGUCGAUACGGGCAGACUAGAGUACUUCAGGGGAGACUGGAAUUCCUGGUGUAGCGGUGAAAUGCGCAGAUAUCAGGAGGAACACCGGUGGCGAAGGCGGGUCUCUGGGAAGUAACUGACGCUGAGAAGCGAAAGCGUGGGUAGCGAACAGGAUUAGAUACCCUGGUAGUCCACGCCGUAACGGUGGGUACUAGGUGUGGGUUUCCUUCCACGGGAUCCGUGCCGUAGCUACGCAUUAAGUACCCCGCCUGGGGAGUACGGCCGCAAGGCUAAAACUCAAGGAAUUGACGGGGGCCCGCACAAGCGGCGGAGCAUGUGGAUUAAUUCGAUGCAACGCGAGAACCUUACCUGGGUUUGACAUACACCGGAAGCCAUAGAGAUAUGGCCCCCCUUGUGGUCGGUGUACAGGUGGUGCAUGGCUGUCGUCACCGGAAAGCCAUAGAGAUAUGGCCCCCCUUGUGGUCGGUGUACAGGUGGUGCAUGGCGGUCGUCAGCUCGUGUCGUGAGAUGUUGGGUUAAGUCCCGCAACGAGCGCAACCCUUAUCUUAUGUUGCCAGCGCGUAAUGGCGGGGACUCGUGAGAGACUGCCGGGGUCAACUCGGAGGAAGGUGGGGACGACGUCAAGUCAUCAUGCCCCUUAUGUCCAGGGCUUCACACAUGCUACAAUGGCCGGUACAGAGGGCUGCGAUACCGUGAGGUGGAGCGAAUCCCUUAAAGCCGGUCUCAGUUCGGAUCGGGGUCUGCAACU